rnacentral:rRNA from 1 species
GGCAACAGCUCAAAUUUGAAAGCUAGCCUUCGGGUUCGCAUUGUAAUUUGUAGAGGAUGAUUUGGGGAAGCCGCCUGUCUAAGUUCCUUGGAACAGGACGUCAUAGAGGGUGAGAAUCCCGUAUGUGACAGGAAAUGGCACCCUAUGUAAAUCUCCUUCGACGAGUCGAGUUGUUUGGGAAUGCAGCUCUAAAUGGGAGGUAAAUUUCUUCUAAAGCUAAAUAUUGGCGAGAGACCGAUAGCGCACAAGUAGAGUGAUCGAAAGAUGAAAAGCACUUUGGAAAGAGAGUUAAAAAGCACGUGAAAUUGUUGAAAGGGAAGCGCUUGCAAUCAGACUUGUUUAAACUGUUCGGCCGGUCUUCUGACCGGUUUACUCAGUUUGGACAGGCCAGCAUCAGUUUCGGCGGCCGGAUAAAGGCUCUGGGAAUGUGGCCUCCACUUCGGUGGAGGUGUUAUAGCCCAGGGUGUAAUACGGCCAGCCGGGACUGAGGUCCGCGCUUCGGCUAGGAUGCUGGCGUAAUGGUUGUAAGCGACCCGUCUU